rnacentral:misc_RNA from 1 species
AGUGGAUCUGGAGAUACCACUGUUUGUCUGUGGGAUCUUAACACCCAAACACCGAUGUUUACAUGUACAGGUAAUACUUUCCUUGCCUAGUCAAGGUUACUUCUUAAAACAUCCACAUGCACACAGAAAGACACAUUUCAAGAAAAGCAUUUGGAUAUUUGAAACAUGUUUUUUGAGCUAUUAUAGCGGCCAGGGUAAGUUUUCCAAUUGUUACACUUGGAUCUCUGAUUGCUUAUCUUAACAUAUGAAGAUGAUCUCCUGUUCUUAAUGUUUUGACUGGAUACGUUUGCUGAUUGUUGCGCUCUACAUGCUUGGCAAAGGGAAUCUGCUUUGAUCUGUGCAUGCGCACACAUGUAGUGAUAAUUGAUGUGUCUCCUGUCAGGUUUAGCAUCUAAAUUGAGUUUAGAUGGUCACCCCUUUUCAUUAAUCAUCAUAUUUUUUGUAUUAACCCAAGAUUAUUCCUUAAUUCAGGACACAAGAAUUGGGUUCUUUGUGUUGCAUGGUCACCGGAUGGUAAACGUCUUGUGAGUGGGAGCAAGGCUGG